GUGCCAGCAGCCGCGGUAAUACGUAGGGGGCUAGCGUUGUCCGGAUUUACUGGGUGUAAAGGGCGCGUAGGCGGAUUAGUAAGUCAGAGGUGAAAUCCUACGGCCUAACCGUAGAACUGCCUUUGAAACUAUUAAUCUUGAGUUCGGAAGAGAGAGACGGAAUUCCAGGUGUAGUGGUGAAAUACGUAGAUAUCUGGAAGAACACCAGUUGCGAAGGCGGUCUCUUGGUCCGAUACUGACGCUCAGGCGCGAAAGCGUGGGUAGCAAACAGGAUUAGAUACCCGAGUAGUCC
rnacentral:rRNA from 1 species